rnacentral:tRNA from 1 species
GCAUUGGGGGUUCCGUGGUAGAAUUCUUGCCUUCCAUGCAGGAGACCUGGGUUCAAUUCCUGGUCACUGUA